CAAGAACUCUGAUGCCUGCAUUUCCUGUUGACAAAAGCUUGCAUAUGUAUGUAUAUGCAUCUAACAUGUAAUUAGGAUGAUGGUUUUUAUGUGAAUCAAUGGUUACAUGGAGGAAAAGUGGAAUAAAGAAUUUUGUUGGAUAAGCAGUUUAAAACUUAGAAUGUUAUCCUAGAAGGACAGGAUGCUGUGUUCUUUUCUAUUGUGCCAUAAGGUGGAAUGUUGGCUACCUUGGGCCAGUGAGGACUCUUACAUAAAGAGCAUUCUCCAGAAUUUGGUGGAGCUAGAGAGAACAGCAUGAAAACUGGGCUUUCUGAACUGGCUGACAGACAAGUAAUAAUCUAACAAAUGGCUAGAAAGGAGUGAAAACCAAAAGCAACUUCUCUGCAAAGCAACAGCCACAAAGAUAACAGAGACUGUGCUAUGAUCAAGUAGCUGCCAUAGUAUUCAGAAAAGAGAGUGUGAUCUUCUGGAAAUGGACAAAUAAAUGUGCAGCAUGUCAGAGUCCUGUGUUCCACUCAAACUGUUUCCCUUUAGUGGCCUCUUCUCAUGACAGAGCCUUGCAGACAGAUUGCCUUUGAGUAAGUUGCAAAUGUCACAGAGCCCGAAAAGAGCCAGAGGGGGACUUGAAGAGAAGACUACUAUGAAACAAGGAUGCAAUUAUCUCAAAUGAAAAGCAGUUAUGUGAUUAACUUAGUGUCCGGAUCACCACAGCCCCGGGACAUACUGGAAAGCUCAGCAGUUGGUUCCAUUCACAUGUUCCAUCCAAGUGACAAAACAUUGAAAGAGAACAUGUUAUGGUCUCCAGUAAUAAAGUGUUCUUUCC
rnacentral:lncRNA from 1 species